UACGUAGGGUGCGAGCGUUAAUCGGAAUUACUGGGCGUAAAGCGUGCGCAGGCGGUUUUGUAAGCCAGAUGUGAAAGCCCCGGGCUCAACCUGGGAAUGGCAAUGGAAACUGGCGAGCUAGAGUACGGUAGAGGAGAGUGGAAUUCCCGGUGUAGCAGUGAAAAUGCGUAGAGAUCGGGAGGAACAUCAGUUGCGAAGGCGGCUCUCUGGACCAGUACUGACGCUGAGGCACGAAAGCGUGGGGAGCAAACAGG
rnacentral:rRNA from 1 species